UACGAAGGGGGCUAGCGUUGUUCGGAUUCAUUGGGCGUAAAGGGUGUGUAGGUGGCGCCGUAAGUGGGGUGUGAAAUCUCGGGGCUUAACUCCGAAACUGCAUUCCAUACUGCGGUGCUUGAGGACUGGAGAGGAGACUGGAAUUCAUGGUGUAGCAGUGAAAUGCGUAGAGAUCAUGAGGAAGACCAGUGGCGAAGGCGGGUCUCUGGACAGUUCCUGACACUGAGACACGAAGGCCAGGGGAGCAAACGGG
rnacentral:rRNA from 1 species